UACAGAGGUCUCAAGCGUUGUUCGGAUUCAUUGGGCGUAAAGGGUGCGUAGGCGGCGCGGUAAGUCGGGUGUGAAAUCUCGGGGCUUAACACCGAUACUGCAUUCGAUACUGCCGUGCUUGAGGACUGGAGAGGAGACUGGAAUUUACGGUGUAGCGGUGAAAUGCGUAGAUAUCGUAAGGAAGACCAGUGGCGAAGGCGGGUCUCUGGACAGUUCCUGACGCUGAGGCACGAAGGUCAGGGGAGCAAACGGG
rnacentral:rRNA from 1 species